UGGGGUAUCGCCAAGCGGUAAGGCACCGGAUUCUGAUUCCGGCAUUCCGAGGUUCGAAUCCUCGUACCCCAGCAA
rnacentral:tRNA from 5 species